rnacentral:rRNA from 1 species
AGCGAACGCUGGCGGCAGGCCUAACACAUGCAAGUCGAACGGACCCUUCGGGGUUAGUGGCGGACGGGUGAGUAACACGUGGGAACGUGCCUUUAGGUUCGGAACAGCUCCUGGAAACGGGUGGUAAUGCCGAAUGUGCCCUUCGGGGGAAAGAUUUAUCGCCUUUAGAGCGGCCCGCGUCUGAUUAGCUAGUUGGUGGGGUAAUGGCCCACCAAGGCUACGAUCAGUAGCUGGUCUGAGAGGAUGACCAGCCACAUUGGGACUGAGACACGGCCCAAACUCCUACGGGAGGCAGCAGUGGGGAAUCUUGCGCAAUGGGCGAAAGCCUGACGCAGCCAUGCCGCGUGUAUGAUGAAGGUCUUAGGAUUGUAAAAUUCUUUCACCGGGGACGAUAAUGACGGUACCCGGAGAAGAAGCCCCGGCUAACUUCGUGCCAGCAGCCGCAGUAACAC